AAAUGAAGCGGUCUGGAAAGGCCCGCCAAAGACGGUAACAGCCCGGUAGUUGAAAUGGCUUUCCCUCCAGAGUGGAUCCUGAGUACGGCGGAACACGUGAAAUUCCGUCGGAAUCCGGGAGGACCAUCUCCCAAGGCUAAAUACUCCCUAGUGACCGAUAGUGAACCAGUACCGUGAGGGAAAGGUGAAAAGCACCCCGGAAGGGGAGUGAAACAGUUCCUGAAACCGUGUGCCUACAAGUAGUUAGAGCCCGUUAAUGGGUGAUAGCGUGCCUUUUGUAGAAUGAACCGGCGAGUUACGAUUUGUUGCAAGGUUAAGCGGAAAAAGCGGAGCCGUAGCGAAAGCGAGUCUGAAUAGGGCGCAUAAGUAACAGGUCGUAGACCCGAAACCAGGUGAUCUACCCAUGUCCAGGAUGAAGGUAAGGUAAUACUUACUGGAGGUCCGAACCCACGCACGUUGAAAAGUGCGGGGAUGAGGUGUGGGUAGCGGAGAAAUUCCAAUCGAACUUGGAGAUAGCUGGUUCUCUCCGAAAUAGCUUUAGGGCUAGCCUCGAGGUAAAGAGUCAUGGAGGUAGAGCACUGUUUGGACUAGGGGCCCUUCUCGGGUUACCGAAUUCAGAUAAACUCCGAAUGCCAUGUACUUAUACUCGGGAGUCAGACUGCGAGUGAUAAGAUCCGUAGUCGAAAGGGAAACAGCCCAGACCACCAGUUAAGGUCCCCAAAUAUAUGUUAAGUGGAAAAGGAUGUGGGGUUGCUUAGACAACCAGGAUGUUGGCUUAGAAGCAGCCACCAUUGAAAGAGUGCGUAAUAGCUCACUGGUCGAGUGACCCCGCGCCGAAAAUGUACCGGGGCUAAACAUAUUACCGAAACUGUGGAUGAACCUCUUUAGAGGUUCGUGGUAGGAGAGCGUUCUAAGGGCGGUGAAGUCAGACCGGAAGGACUGGUGGAGCGCUUAGAAGUGAGAAUGCCGGUAUGAGUAGCGAAAGAAGGGUGAGAAUCCCUUCCACCGAAUAUCUAAGGUUUCCUGAGGAAGGCUCGUCCGCUC
rnacentral:rRNA from 1 species